GAUGAACGCUGGCGGCGUGCCUAAUACAUGCAAGUCGAGCGAAUGGAUUGAGAGCUUGCUCUUAUGAAGUUAGCGGCGGACGGGUGAGUAACACGUGGGUAACCUGCCCAUAAGACUGGGAUAACUCCGGGAAACCGGGGCUAAUACCGGAUAACAUUUUGAACCGCAUGGUUCGAAAUUGAAAGGCGGCUUCGGCUGUCACUCAUGGAUGGACCCGCGUCGCAUGAGAUAGUUGGUGAGGUAACGGCUCACCAAGGCAACGAUGCGUAGCCGACCUGAGAGGGUGAUCGGCCACACUGGGACUGAGACACGGCCCAGACUCCUACGGGAGGCAGCAGUAGGGAAUCUUCCGCAAUGGACGAAAGUCUGACGGAGCAACGCCGCGUGAGUGAUGAAGGCUUUCGGGUCGUAAAACUCUGUUGUUAGGGAAGAACAAGUGCUAGUUGAAUAAGCUGGCACCUUGACGGUACCUAACCAGAAAGCCACGGCUAACUACGUGCCAGCCGCCGCAGUAA
rnacentral:rRNA from 1 species